AGAGUUUGAUCAUGGCUCAGAGCGAACGCUGGCGGUAUGCUUAACACAUGCAAGUCGAGCGAGAAAGUGGCUUCGGCCACGAGUACAGCGGCGGACGGGUGCGUAACACGUGGAUAAUCUGCCUUCAGGUCUGGGAUAACCCUGGGAAACUAGCUAAUACCGGAUAAGACCACAGGUUUCAUGGAACCAGUGGUAAAAGGCGGCUUUCGGGCUGUCUCCUGAAGAUGAGUCCGCGUCCCAUCAGGUUGUUGGUGAGGUAACGGCUCACCAAGCCUAAGACGGGUAGCCGACCUUAGCGGGUGAUCGGCCACACGGGGACUGAGACA
rnacentral:rRNA from 1 species